GAGGAAAGCCAAAAAACUCCUCAUUUAUCCUCAGUGGGAAGGAAACACUGAUUGAGGCCAGCUAUUUAACUUCUUUUUGUUUCAGUCCUCAGCCAUCUGAGUGUAGGCUCAGAGCACCAACGCCAGUGACAAAUGAGUACAAGCUUUUGCUAGAAUGGGGGAACAAAAUCACACAAGGCAAGCUGUUCUAAGACAAUCUCAGAGACAUCUGCUGCUAUCUUGGAGAACCCAUGGAAGACAGACAAGUUUUAGAUGGCAAAUACAAUUCCUUUUUUUAUUGAAGGAGAUGACGAUGAGAUAUUGGAAAUUGUGGAUCAAUCAACCUAACUCACAUUUCCACAAGGAACUUUUAAGGCCUUAGUAAUCCGGUAUUCAGAAAGAGAGCUUUAAGACUGGACAUCAACACAAAUUGAUGGUGCUUCUCUGACACAGACAAUGGUUUGGAGCAUUGAGUUAUCCAUGAACUCUGAGUAUCUAGGGGUUACUUCCGAAGGCAGUCCUGCCAGACUGUGGUGUGAACAGGCACAAGCAUGAAAUUAAUUUCUUUCGCCUUUCAAUGCCUGGAAGUGAUGUUUUGACUCUAUGAAUGAACAAGAUGAUGUUUUGGGUUAAUAAAGGUAAGAAGACUCAAGGCAUGAGGUCGGUGUGUGUUUUUGCCAGCUUUGUGGAUGACUGGUGGGCAAUAGAGAGAUGCCACAAAGCAGCAC